rnacentral:lncRNA from 1 species
AACUUUCUUUUCUUUCCUUUUAAGCCUUGGUUGACUAUAGGGUUGAGCAUAGCCAUACAGUUUAUAACAAUUAGGACUUAUGUGCCCAUAUUUACCAUAGUGAUGACAUCUUCUAUCAAAGCUCUUGUAACUCUUAUUAUGAGGGUGCGCAUGUUGGGUGUUAUGUUGGAAUAUGUGUCCUUUCUUGUUCAUAAAGUUGUAGUUAAAGCCUAUUGUUA